rnacentral:rRNA from 1 species
GCUUACGACCACACCGGCCUGAGUACGCCUGAUCUCGUCUCAUCUCGGAAGCUAAGCAGGGUCGGGCCUGGUUAGUACUUGGAUGGAAGACCGCCUGGGAAUACCAGGUGCUGUAAGCU